UACGAAGGGGGCUAGCGUUGCUCGGAAUCACUGGGCGUAAAGGGCGCGUAGGCGGCCGAUCAAGUCGGGGGUGAAAGCCUGUGGCUCAACCACAGAAUUGCCUUCGAUACUGUCUGGCUAGAGACCGGAAGAGGUUAGUGGAACUGCGAGUGUAGAGGUGAAAUUCGUAGAUAUUCGCAAGAACACCAGUGGCGAAGGCGGCUAACUGGUCCGGUUCUGACGCUGAGGCGCGAAAGCGUGGGGAGCAAACAGG
rnacentral:rRNA from 1 species